AUGGGUCGGCAGAAAAUUUGGAGGGAUAGGAUCGAUGCCCACAACAGAUUGAUCAGGCACUAUUUUGCGGAUCCUCCUGUGUACCUCGAGUCAUACAUCCAGCGCCGGUUUAGGAUGAGCACAGAGUUGUUCAGGCGCAUUGUAGAGAAACUAGCGAGCCAUGACCGGUUUUUUCAGCAAAUGAGGAAUGUGGCCGGAGAGCUCGGGCAUAACACCUUUCAGAAGGUGACAGCUGCUUUGCGUAUGUUGGCAUACGGUAUCCCCGCUGAUCUAGUUGAUGAUCACUUGCCAUGGGUGAGAGUCAAGCCAUCAUGUGUGUCAAGCGCUUCGCAGUCGGAAUUGUGCAAGUGUUUGGCCAUGAGUAUUUGA
rnacentral:rRNA from 1 species